CAGUAGCCGCGGUAAUACGGAGGGUGCAAGCGUUAUCCGGAUUUAUUGGGUUUAAAGGGUCCGUAGGCGGACUUAUAAGUCAGUGGUGAAAGCCUGUCGCUUAACGAUAGAACUGCCAUUGAUACUGUAAGUCUUGAGUAUAUUUGAGGUAGCUGGAAUAAGUAGUGUAGCGGUGAAAUGCAUAGAUAUUACUUAGAACACCAAUUGCGAAGGCAGGUUACCAAGAUAUAACUGACGCUGAGGGACGAAAGCGUGGGUAGCGAACAGGAUUAGAUACCCCAGUAGUCCCUGUCUCUUAUAC
rnacentral:rRNA from 1 species